rnacentral:lncRNA from 1 species
AUGCACCUUCGGGUGGCCACCGCUUUCCAGCUUUCGGAGACACAUAAUGGCAGGAGCUUGCAAGUGUUGCCUGUUGAGCCUUGUCACUCCUUACUGGAGAAGGACAUGGGGGCAUCCAGGAAGUGUACAAGUGAAGCCCGAGAUGACAUGAAGCUCCAGAACCAAUCUAAGGGGAUCAGAUGCUGUCAAACCUUGGCAUCCCUUCAGUCCGUCCGUGUGUGUGUGUGUGUGUGUGUGUGUGUGUGUGUGUGUGUGUGUGUGUGUGUCUGUCUCUCGGAGAGAGAGAGAGAGAACGCUGCUCGAGAGGAAAGGGAGGGGGAUGUGGGGCAGGCCUGGUGGUGCUGUAGCAGCACAGAAUGGUUUGUGGGUUACACGGGGAUGCAGGCCGUGCUGUGCUGCGGCAGUUACGCCUGGGCAGGCGGAAAAUAAAAUGGGGGUGGGGGAUGAUGGAAAAAAAACUGUCAAAUAGUUUGUAAAGAGGACCAGGACCACCAGCGUGAGGCCAGGUACAGGCUAGUCGCCCUCCACGUUUGGCCGCCUUGCUCUAGCAGCACGUAAAUAUUGGAGUUAAACCACUUCUGAUUCCUCCAGUAUUGAUCGUGCUGCUGAAGUGAAGCCUGGCCGUUCCCGUCCACCGGCUUACUGCCUCAUGGCUGUCGUGCGCUGCCCUGUUACCGUCAUCGUCGUCAUCUCAGCAUGGAGCUGCUGACCCCGUGAUGAGGAGUUGUGUGCGUCAUAAGCAUCAGCGAAGGGGAGUGAAAUUACUCUGGUACUCUGUACUGUUUGAGGUAUAUGCAUUUCUGCUGCUCGCUUUUUAUAUUCACCGUGUGCAGGAACCGCACCAAUUAGUGUGCGUUGUCAGGAGCAUCAUUCAUUUUUCUAAUCACUGGACUCAUAAUUGAUUAUCUAUUGCUUGUGUCUAUACUGCAGUGCUUAAUUUUACUUUUUUUUUUUUAACCUGAGCUGCAUAUAAUCUUAAAAUGUAUGUUUUUCUAUCUAAGAAUUUACCUUUUAAGACUGUAUUUGUACUGCUUCAUGUCUUAUGUCCUAAUAAAUUUGUUUUUGUGUUUUCA